ACCUCUGCAAUAGGCGAAAGCUUGACAGGGUUAUUCUGAGUGAUUUCCGCUAAGGAGAUCUUUUGGCACCUCUAAAAAUGGUGCAGAAUAAGGGGUGGGCAAGCCUGGUGUCAGCCGCCGCGGUAAUACCAGCACCCCGAGUGGUCGGGACGAUUAUUGGGCCUAAAGCAUCCGUAGCCGGUUCUACAAGUCUUCCGUUAAAUCCACCUGCUUAACAGUUGGGCUGCAGAGGAUACUAUAGAGCUAGGAGGCGGGAGAGGCAAGCGGUACUUAGUGGGUAGGGGUAAAAUCCGUUGAUCCACUGAAGACCACCAGUGGCGAAGGCGGCUUGCCAGAACGCGCUCGACGGUGAGGGAUGAAAGCUGGGGGAGCAAACCGGAUUAGAUACCCGGGUAGUCCCAGCUGUAAACGAUGCAGACUCGGUGAUGAAUAGGCUUCGUGCCUAUUCAGUGCCGCAGGGAAGCCGUUAAGUCUGCCGCCUGGGGAGUACGGUCGCAAGACUGAAACUUAA
rnacentral:rRNA from 1 species